rfam:Ruminococcus sp. CAG:624 genomic scaffold, scf297
CUUAAAUACUCGGGGGGCUUGUAUACAGGCUGAGAGGAAGGUGUGACCUUCGACCCAUUUAACCUGAUUUGGAUAAUGCCAACGUAGGGAAGCUCAGUUAAGAACGC